rnacentral:rRNA from 1 species
UACGUAGGGGGCAAGCGUUGUCCGGAAUUAUUGGGCGUAAAGCGCGCGUAGGUGGCCCGGUAAGUCCGCUCUGAAAGUCAAAGGCUCAACCUUUGAAUGCCGAUGGAUACUGUCGGGCUAGAGUCCGGAAGAGGCGAGUGGAAUUCCUGGUGUAGCGGUGGAAUGCGCAGAUAUCAGGAAGAACACCCGUGGCGAAGGCGGUUCUCUGGAACGCAACUGACGCUGAGACGCGAAAGCGUGGGGAGCAAACAGG